rnacentral:rRNA from 1 species
UACGGAAGGCAGCGGUGGGGAAUAUUGCACAAUGGGCGAAAGCCUGAUGCAGCUAUGCCGCGUGUAUGAAGAAGGCCUUAGGGUUGUAAAGUACUUUCAUCGGGGAGGAAAAACAAAACUAAUAAUUUUAUUUCUUGACGUUACCCGAAAAAGAAGCACCGGCUAACUCCGUGCCAGCAGCCGCGGUAAUACGGAGGGUGCUAGCGUUAAUCAGAAUUACUGGGCGUAAAGAGCACGUAGGUGGUUUUUUUAAGUCAGAUGUGAAAUCCCUGGGCUUAACCUAGGAACUGCAUUUUGAAACUGAAAUACUAGAGUAUCGUAGAGGGAGGUAGAAUUCUAGGUGUAGCGGUGAAAUGCGUAGAUAUCUGGAGGAAUACCUGUGGCGAAAGCGGCCUCCUAAACGAAUACUGACACUGAGGUGCGAAAGCGUGGGGAGCAAACAGGGAUUAGGAUACC